CCGACCCCGACCGACCUUUGCCCUCUCUGCCGACGCAAACCCCCGAUCUCCCCUCUCUUCUUCCUAUCUUCUUACUGAUCGCCUCCGCUCGUCACCGAUCACAGCCGCCUGUGCCGGUUGUCCAACCGUUGGCCAAGGCCCCUUCCGAUCUAGCCGAAGCCCUUUCUCUCUCUCGCUCCGAUCUCUCUGUUCUCUCACGCAAACGAUUCGACACCCCAGCGCCGACAGAGGGUUGUUUCCGACGAUCCCGUCCUCUUACGCCGCCUGAGUACCAUCGCCGGAUUCUUGACAUUGGUGACGCUGUCCAAGCUUUCUGGUGGAGCGAUUGCUUCACUGGCCGGUUCUUGUGCAUAAAUGACGACGGCUCGGUGGCUAGGGCAUGGUGGAAGGCUUGGUUUGCAUUGUCUCCGAUCGAUUGACCCUUCGUUUUCCUCCUUCUUGAGUUGUUCACAAAACGAUCCGUAGCUCCUCAAGGUGGAUCGGAUUGGGUGAUACCUUAUGGAGACAACCGAUUGAGGGAGGUGUUCUUGAGCUGCCGGGCAGAGGCUAAAAGGAUGGUUGUGCUUGAUCAGUAGUCUUCCUGCUAGAUCCUUGCUUGAUCCGAUUGAUAGCAGCAAGCAGCGAGGUUGUGUCGCUGUGAUGCUGGAAUUGUGGUCAUUGAGGUGGUAUACAGCAGCGUUUCUAGUUCUAGUAACUCUCCAACAGUAGCUACUUUUCCUAGCAGCACCAUUUCUUUGUGUGGAUCAACAGAACAGUGCUAGGAAUUUAGGACUUUGAUUCGAGACAGGCGUCUCGACGUUGGAUUUGGCAUGAUACUUCCUGCUAUUUG